rnacentral:rRNA from 1 species
CGGAAAGACCCCGUGAACCUUUACUAUAGCUUGACACUGAACAUUGAGCCUUGAUGUGUAGGAUAGGUGGGAGGCUUAGAAGUGUGGACGCCAGUCUGCAUGGAGCCGGCCUUGAAAUACCACCCUUUAAUGUUUGAUGUUCUAACGUGGACCCGUAAUCCGGGUUGCGGACAGUGUCUGGUGGGUAGUUUGACUGGGGCGGUCUCCUCCUAAAGAGUAACGGAGG